rnacentral:lncRNA from 1 species
ACCUGCUGAGCGUGCAGCCAACCAUAUUCCUCCUCCAAAUGGUUCAUCUUCUUGUCAAACUCAUUCAGAAACUUAUAUCUCAAUGAAGGAUCGUCAGCAAGAUGAAACUGUCUUCUGGCAUAAUGGUAGCUUGAGUUGUUCCCCUCCCUGGGAAAGUCCAGCCAUUCUGGAUGACCAAACUCAUUGCCAAUAAAAUUCAUGUACGCUUCUCCUCCAAGACCAUGAGUCAGUAAUCU